rnacentral:lncRNA from 1 species
GAGAUUGUCUAUACUUUUGACUUGGAGGUCUCUAUAGAAAUCUUGUGUAAAAACCUUGACUAAUAUAGUACAUUGGCUUCCCGGUUGUGGAAGGACACUGGAUGUAGGCAUUGAGGCCGAACCAGUAUAAAAAGUGUGUUUGAUUUUCUCUAUCCCUAAACUCUUUACUUUCAGUCGACUUUACUUUCUGCACACUCAACUUUGUAUUUCCGCUGCACUGAUUUAUCUUUUUCCUUGGGUUUCAAGAAAACUUUGAAAGGUUUAUACUUUGCGAAAAAGAUUUGGAAAGGACUCUGAUUUUUGAACCUCACCAAUUCACCCCCUUCUUGGUGUUGAAACUAAGCCAUUCUUUUUCCAACAACUGUCUUCAGAAUGCACAGAUCCCGCCAUGAAACAAAGGUUUGACUCCUUCAAAACACUAUGAUCAUCAUCACUUGAUGUAUCAUCAUCAUUGUUCUCCCAAGCAAUGUUAGCUUUUCUCUACUUACUUCUCCUUUUGUCCUGUGGAUACUUGGUGUUAGCCUUUUGCCUGUUUUUCAACUCUGGACACUCCGGCUUUAUGUGACCAUCUUUGCCGCAUUCAUAACAUGUCACAGUGCUGUUCUUGGAGUUCUUCCUCCCUCCUGUCGAGUAACAGGCAUGGUCAGUUGCAGCAGUUCUAUUUUUCAUGAACUUAGUAAACUUUUUUACCAUCAGACUCAACAUCAGAUUCAACCUUCUUGGAGUUCUUUUAUUGGUAGCUUUGAGAGCAAUUGAUUGCUUUUGUUUAAUCUCUUCUUCUUCCCUCAAUCUACCAAGCUUCAGCUCAU